ACUGCUUCAAAACAGCACACGAACAAUCAGAUCUGGAUGUAAAACUCCUGACUUUAUUACAAAUGUUUCAAAUGAGGAGGACUGCGGAUGAAAUGAAGCCGUCUCUCAAGAAGAACCUGAUGUUGGAUUGGACGCUGCUGUAAUCUGUAGAGAUGCUGAUCUGCUGAGGAAGUGAAUGCCGCUGGCGUCACCAAACAGGAAAUGACCGUGUGUGUCUGUGAUCUCAGACAGGAAGCAGCGCAGGCCUCGCUCUUACCCAACGUCCUGUGAGCUGAUAGAGAAGAGGAAGUGGGGGGGAAAGAGGAAGCAGCGUCCAUGUGACGCAUCACAUCCUGUCUUUCUGACUGCCUGCGGGCAUCACGUGAGGGGUUUUCUCUCUCACACACACACACACACACACA